GGGUCUUCACUGGAUACAUUAUCUACGCUGAACUGAGACUGUUUGGAGAAAAGGCUUACGCGAUGAAGACGCUGCUUGCAACGUUGAUCGUGGCGUUGGCUUUCGUGGCUGUGUGCCAAGCGGGCCACCACUACGGAGGUCACGGAUACACGUUCAGCCACGGGCACACUAACUACUUCGACGACCAGCGCACGCAUCACGGCUACGGAGGCGGAUACGGAGGUGGAGGAGGUGGUGGAGGCGGAGGAGGCGGAUACGGGGGUGGAUACGGCCACGGCCACUAUGGCUAAAUCACGGAGCCGCAAAAACCUGUACAUACGACGCAGACAAAGUACUAUAUGCCGCACAGAGUUGAGAGAAGUGGAACCGUGGACUCUCGAAGGUUUUCCUUGGGACAAAUCAAGCAUGCGAUGUCAUCUACGGAAACAGCAGAAUUAUGGGGCUGCAUAACAAGCAGAUGCAACAGUGAAUAUUUAUAUGCCUCUGAAGGAAGCUCAAGGCUUUACGAAACACCGACAUAAAACGGGAAAGAAGCAUGCCCAAACCAACAACAGCUUUCUUUCGCCUAGCUGUCGGUGAUUCCAACGGUUCCUAGUUGUUUUGUAUUAUAUUUUAUGGAUGUGUUGAUCGCCAAAAUUUC